CGCACAUUGCGCCCUUUGGCAUUCCGAAGGGCAUGCCUGUUCGAGCGUCAUUAUCACCCCUCAAGCCUGGCUUGGUGUUGGACCCGUGGUCCCUUUAAACAGGACCGGUCCCAAAGACAAUGACGGCGGCGAAAGGACCCUCGGCACACUGAGCUUCUCACCGAGCACGUGUCGAGUUGCAAGGUCCCUCUCGCCCGGUCUCCCGGUGUUUCGGUUGUGACCCAACCGGAACCCACUCCUUCAAGGUUGACCUCGGAUCAGGUAGGGAUACCCGCUGAACUUAA
rnacentral:misc_RNA from 1 species